CAGCGACGGGCACAUGCAAGUCGAACGGUAGCACGAAGCAAUAAGCUGCUUUGCUGACGAGUGGCGGACGGGUGAGUAAUGUCUGGGAAACUGCCUGAUGGAGGGGGAUAACUACUGGAAACGGUAGCUAAUACCGCAUAACGUCGCAAGACCAAAGUGGGGGACCUUCGGGCCUCAUGCCAUCAGAUGUGCCCAGAUGGGAUUAGCUAGUAGGUGAGGUAAUGGCUCACCUAGGCGACGAUCCCUAGCUGGUCUGAGAGGAUGACCAGCCACACUGGAACUGAGACACGGUCCAGACUCCUACGGGAGGCAGCAGUGGGGAAUAUUGCACAAUGGGCGCAAGCCUGAUGCAGCCAUGCCGCGUGUAUGAAGAAGGCCUUCGGGUUGUAAAGUACUUUCAGCGAGGAGGAAGGCAUUAAGGUUAAUAACCUUAGUGAUUGACGUUACUCGCAGAAGAAGCACCGGCUAACUCCGUGCCAGCAGCCGCGGUAAU
rnacentral:rRNA from 1 species